CAUGCAGGGAGGCUGGCAGGGCCCAGACUGCCCUGGGUCAGAUGGUGGUCACUGCAGCAGGUCAGCAGGGCCAGCAUCAUGGCCAUCAGGAGCCCAGGGUGUUGGAUGUUGCUGCCAGGGG